rnacentral:lncRNA from 1 species
UAAUAAUAAUAAUAAUAAUAAUAAUUGUAUAUGGCACACUGCAAAAAUAUUAAAUAGUAAAUAUAUUUUUAUAAAAUUUAAGUUAUCACAUUUAUCUCUCUAAAAAUCCUUAUAUUUGUAAAUAUAUCUUUCGUUUACCAAAAUUACUAACCAUAGUUAGCUAAGGAGUAAAAUAACUUUUUGACCUCUUAUGUGUAUAAUUUGUAUUGUAAUGUUAAGUCUCGUCAUCUUUCUCUACCUCUUUUUUUUAUUUAUAGUGACGGUGAAACCUAUGAAAUUGAGGACGUCGUAGGCAAAACCCUUGAUUCGCGGCAAAAAUGAGGUACGCCACACAUGCCGCGACGAAGGAGAGAGAGAAAGAAAGAUAGCUUUUUGUGAAAAUACAUUUGUAAAAAUAAAAUAAUCAUUUUACAUACUUAAAAAUCUAACGGUGAAUCAAACGAUAGAGAUCUACCCUUUUGAUCAUUUUCACCCGUUAGAUCAUACUAUUCAACCAACCACCCACUCAACCCUAGGGCGCCCACAUCAUUCUAAGCGCACAUCUCUUAAUCCAAUGGCCAAAAACUUAGUAGCAAUAAUGACUUGAUGCUAUUAAUAGCAUAGUAACCUAGUUCUAUAUAUAUAUAUAUAUAUAUAUAUAUAUAUGAACGAACCACAAUUUUUGGAGAAGAGAUAUAUUUGCAAACGAGAGAUUUUUCGAAAAGGAUAAAUCUGAUAACUUAAAUUUUGUAUGGAUAUAUUUGUUAUUUAGAGUCCGGCUAUGGUGCUUGUAAAAGCACCAAGCACUUGGUGCUUGUGAAUUUUUUAGCGUUAGAUCUACGCCUUUAAUCAUUUUCACCCGUUAGAUUAUACUCUUCAACCAACUAACCACUCAACCCUACGGGGCCCGCAUCAUCCUAACCGUAUAUCCCUUAAUCCAAGGGCCGAAAACUUACAAGCACUAAUGACUUAAGUACUUUUAAAAGUAUAGGAGCUCAAUUUUUAUUAUUUAAUAUCUUAAUUUGCGGGAACCUGUAUGAAAUUAAUCUAAAAAAAUAUAUUGAGCUUUUCUUAAAACUAUUGUCCAAUUUGAUCCGAUUGUCCACUAACUUUUAAAUUAUAGUUUGUUUAUAAUACCUAAUUUUCAAUUCUUCUAACUUGGAGAAUUUAAUGGCUCUUUUGCCAUAAAAUUUCAACACACCGAUCACUUGCUCUAAUAUAAAAAACGUGGUAUAUUUUAAUCAAGUUUAUUAAAACAAACGGCGCACCUGAAUUCUAAAUUGAAAUUAAGAGUCAUCAAAUUACUCAAAUUAAAUAAAUUAAAAGAUCAGAUAGUAAAAUUCAAACUUUCAAAAGUAAAAAGAAAAAAGAAUGAACUGCGUAAAAAUUAAAUCAUGUUAUCUCUUACACAGUUAGAGUAAGACAGGUUACACUUCAGGUAUAAUUUAAACAAGUUUUUUAUAUUUUUAUCUAGGGUUUGUUUGAAUUCUCGUAAAACCACUCUGAAAAAUACUUUUCGUUCAAAAAAUAAAUUUCUAUAAUUUGAUUGUUCAUAUUACGGAUUCUCAAAAAACUAAGUCUUUUAUUUUCCACUCUCUUCGAGUGGAAAACGAAAACUUGGUGCUGAAAAAACGCGGCUCAGGCAAUGCGUUAACACACGGUCCUCUUGAAAGAGAGUCCACAAGGGACCUGGACCCGUGGACUCUCUCUCCCUCAUUCAUUAUAUAUAUAUAUAUAUAUAUAUAUAUAUAUAUAUAUGAACGAACCACAAUUUUUGGAGAAGAGAUAUAUUUGCAAACGAGAGAUUUUUCGAAAAGGAUAAAUCUGAUAACUUAAAUUUUGUAUGGAUAUAUUUGUUAUUUAGAGUCCGGCUAUGGUGCUUGUAAAAGCACCAAGCACUUGGUGCUUGUGAAUUUUUUAGCGUUAGAUCUACGCCUUUAAUCAUUUUCACCCGUUAGAUUAUACUCUUCAACCAACUAACCACUCAACCCUACGGGGCCCGCAUCAUCCUAACCGUAUAUCCCUUAAUCCAAGGGCCGAAAACUUACAAGCACUAAUGACUUAAGUACUUUUAAAAGUAUAGGAGCUCAAUUUUUAUUAUUUAAUAUCUUAAUUUGCGGGAACCUGUAUGAAAUUAAUC